rnacentral:rRNA from 2 species
UUGACCUCGGAUCAGGUAGGAAGACCCGCUGAACUUAAGCAUAUCAAUAAGCGGAGGAAAAGAAACCAACAGGGAUUGCCCUAGUAACGGCGAGUGAAGCGGCAACAGCUCAAAUUUGAAAUCUGGCUUCGGCCCGAGUUGUAAUUUGCAGAGGAAGCUUUAGGCGCGGCACCUUCUGAGUCCCCUGGAACGGGGCGCCACAGAGGGUGAGAGCCCCGUAUAGUUGGAUGCCUAGCCUGUGUAAAGCUCCUUCGACGAGUCGAGUAGUUUGGGAAUGCUGCUCAAAAUGGGAGGUAAAUUUCUUCUAAAGCUAAAUACCGGCCAGAGACCGAUAGCGCACAAGUAGAGUGAUCGAAAGAUGAAAAGCACUUUGAAAAGAGGGUUAAAUAGCACGUGAAAUUGUUGAAAGGGAAGCGCUUGUGACCAGACUUGCGCCAGGCUGAUCAUCCGGUGUUCUCACCGGUGCACUCUGCCCGGCGCAGGCCAGCAUCGGUUCUCGCGGGGGGAUAAAGGCCCCGGGAACGUAGCUCCUCCGGGAGUGUUAUAGCCCGGGGCGUAAUGCCCUCGCGGGGACCGAGGA